rnacentral:rRNA from 1 species
AUGGGCUGGUGCUCCCCAUCCACUCCCCGGCAGCUGCUAUCCACCGUCGCACUCUUUGCCUUCGGCGCGGGGCUCCUCGCCUACGGCGCUCUCCUCUCCCACGUCCACAUCGAGCCCCAGCGCGCACGCACGCUCGCCCGCGAUCAGUUCGUCCGCGACUACCUACGCAGGAAGCACGACAAGUAG